rnacentral:tRNA from 1 species
UUUCUCUUAGCUUAAAAUUUAAAGCGUCAAUUUGAAGCGUUGGAGAUAAUGUAAUUAGAGAGAC